GAAGUAUAAUCACCCACAUCCACUCUUGGACACAGCCCACUCUGAUGCAUCCCUUACAGAACUCAUUAUAUAGUAGGGGACAUGCAAAUAGGGUCCUCCCUCUGCUUAUAUGAAAACUAACCCAGCCCUGACCCUGCAGCCCUGGGAGAGGAGCCCCAGCCCUGAGAUUCCCAGGUGUUUCCAUUCAGUGAUCAGCACUGAACACAGAGAACUCACCAUGGAGUUUGGACUGAGCUGGGUUUUCCUUGUUGCUAUUUUAAAAGGUGUCCAGUGUGAAGUGCAGCUGGUGGAGUCUGGAGGAGGCGUGGUACAGCCUGGGGGGUCCCUGAGACUCUCGUGUGCAGCCUCUGGAUUCACCUUUGAUGAUUAUGCCAUGGGCUGGGUCCGCCAAGCUCCAGGGAAGGGUCUGGAGUGGGUCUCUGGUAUUAGCUGGAAUAGUGGUAGCACAGGUUAUGCAGACUCCGUCAAGGGCCGAUUCACCAUCUCCAGAGACAACGCCAAGAACUCCCUGUAUCUGCAAAUGAACAGGCUGAGAGCUGAGGACACGGCCUUGUAUUACUGUGCAAAAGAUACACAGUGAGGGGAAGUCAGUGAGAGCCCAGACAAAAACGUCCCUGCAGGAAGACAGGAGGGGCCUGGGCUGCAGAGGGCACUCAAGACCCACUGAGCACAGGGUUCAUUCUGGGGCAAGUUGCGCAAGAAGGUUAAGGGCUGGUUUCCUUUCAGAGUCUUAGCAAUUCCUCCAUCUAACAGUUUCCCCAGGAACCCUGUCUAGAUCUGUGAUCUGGAUCUACCAAGACUGCCUGUGUCACCUUCCUCACCUGUG